UACGUAGGGACCAAGCGUUGUUCGGAUUUACUGGGCGUAAAGGGCGCGUAGGCGGCGUGGUAAGUCACUUGUGAAAUCUCUGAGCUUAACUCAGAACGGCCAAGUGAUACUGCUGUGCUAGAGUGCAGAAGGGGCAAUCGGAAUUCUUGGUGUAGCGGCGAAAUGCGUAGAUAUCAAGAGGAACACCUGAGGUGAAGACGGGUUGCUGGGCUGACACUGACGCUGAGGCGCGAAAGCGUGGGGAGCAAACAGG
rnacentral:rRNA from 1 species